UACGUAGGGUGCGAGCGUUAAUCGGAAUUACUGGGCGUAAAGCGUGCGCAGGCGGUGAUGUAAGACAGUUGUGAAAUCCCCGGGCUCAACCUGGGAACUGCAUCUGUGACUGCAUCGCUGGAGUACGGUAGAGGGGGAUGGAAUUCCGCGUGUAGCAGUGAAAUGCGUAGAUAUGCGGAGGAACACCGAUGGCGAAGGCAAUCCCCUGGACCUGUACUGACGCUCAUGCACGAAAGCGUGGGGAGCAAACAGG
rnacentral:rRNA from 1 species